UUGUCGUUUAUUAGAAUGUAGAAUUUGAUAUCAUAAUUGGAGAAUUGCAGAAUUGUAUUACCAUAUUUAUUACUGGCAUUAUUUUUUUUCAUAUCAAUAUAAUCCACUGCGCCAACUCCCUGGCAGCACCGGUGAAAAGAGCAAGGUUACACAGGGGUGUUGCAUACUUCAUGUAAUUUCUGUCUAUAUUGCCAUGUGUUAUGAUAGUGAACGUUUCUAUAUAACCUGAACAGCUAUGACCUUUCAACAUCUGAUACUAAAACGUCCGCCCCUCAGAAAUGUAUUUAUUUAUACAUUUACGGUUUGUCUUUAUAUAAUAUAUUCAACCAUACUUCUAUUUCUUGUAAUAUUUUAUGAAAAUGCGACAUUAAUAUGAAUAGACAAAUACAUUAUUUCAUGCUAUACAGACGCAAAAUACUUCAACAGACACUAAUUAUAAGCCUUGAUCAUCUCUCUUUCUCUCUCUCUCUCUCUCAGAUCGUUUGCACAUCUGCCAAUACAUUUGGACAUUAAAUGAAAAAUAAUUCAUUUGACAGUGCUUAACAUGCAUAAAAGAGCCCUUUUUGUACACAGAGAAGGUUCUGUGCCAGUGAACACGUGUAGCUGAAGUGUCCAUUCAUGUGUAUGGAUGAGGAUGAUAGCAGAAGGGGAAGGCUGUCAAAACCAAUCGCACAUUGGCUGUAAAAUGGACUCUGGCCUGUUAUUUUUCACGUGUGCACACCUGCACUCUCUGCUUGGCACUGACUGAUCAGUAGCCGAGUGAGCCUGACUGAUGCACACAUGCGGCCAUCAACUCUCACUCUCACUCCCCUUUCCUUCUUCUUCAUUUCACUCAGCAGUUGUGGCUCUGAAUAGAGAACAGCCUUGUUUAGCUCCUGAGUCUGAAUGGUUGUGAAUCUAUUUCUCCAAUUUGGCUCAAAUGACCUAUGCCUGCGGGGACACCAGUGGACAAUGCUUAUGUAUAUAGAAAUGUGUGUGUGUGUGUGUGUGUGUGUGUGUGUGUGUGUUUGUUGGGUGUGUGAGUGAGUGAGUGAGUGAGUGAGUGUGAGUGAGUGAGUGAGUGAGUGAGAGAGACUGGCUUCAACAGUUGGACACUACUUUCCCACCUUAACCGCCUUGAGUCUUCUGCUCCUUAAAAAUACAAACAAAAAUAAAACAACCAAAAUAUUCAUAUACACCACAUGCUCAUUCUGUUUUUCCCCCUAUAGAUGGCUUUGAACUUGGAUCUGGGUUUGAAGAUAGAGGGCAGGGAUGCUGAAACAGCUGCAGUCACAAACUGGCAAUAAUCACACAUGCUGCUGUCAAACAUUUGGUUCUGCGGGUGUCCAUCUUCUUUAUCCUCCUCUUCCAGGAAAGAGACAUGGCAUCAGGAUAACUGCA
ensembl:lncRNA